rnacentral:rRNA from 1 species
GAAAGUACAAAAGGGCGUACGGUGGAUGCCUAGGCUCUUACAGGCGAUGAAGGACGUGAUAAGCUGCGAUAAGCUGUGGGUAGGUGCAAAUGACCUUUGAUCCGCAGAUUUCCGAAUGGGACAACCCGGCAGGUUGAAGACCUGUCAUCCCGCUAAGCGGGAGGCUAACGAGGGGAACUGAAACAUCUUAGUACCCUCAGGAAAAGAAAAUAACAAUGAUUCCCCUAGUAGUGGCGAGCGAACGGGGAAGAGCCCAAACCGUGGAGGUCUCGGCCUUCGCGGGGUUGUAGGACCACGCCAUUGGACUUGGUUCGAUUAGAGGAACGUUUUGGAAAGAACGACCAUAGAGAGUGACAGUCUCGUACUCGACAAUCGAAUCGGCCAUAGUGGUAUCCUGAGUAGGGCGGGACACGUGAAAUCCUGUCUGAAUCCGGCGGGCCCAUCCGCCAAGGCUAAAUACUCGUAAGAGACCGAUAGCGAACCAGUACCGUGAGGGAAAGGUGAAAAGCACCUCUGUCAGAGGAGUGAAAAAGUUCCUGAAACCGUACGCCUACAAGCGGUCGGAGCAUCUUUAUGAUGUGACGGCGUGCCUUUUGCAUAAUGAACCUACGAGUUGCCGUCGUCGGCAAGGUUAAGCGCAAUGAUGCGCGCAACCGAAGCGAAAGCGAGUCUGAAUAGGGCGCAUAGUCGGCGGUGGCAGACGCGAAACCAAGUGAUCUACCCUUGUCCAGGUUGAAGUCCCGGUAACACGGGAUGGAGGACCGAACCGAUAAGCGUUGAAAAGCUUCCGGAUGAGGUGAGGGUAGGAGUGAAAGGCCAAUCAAACUUGGAGAUAGCUCGUACUCCCCGAAAUGCAUUUAGGUGCAGCCUCGGGCGUUCCCUGUGUGAGGUAGAGCGACUGAUUGGAUGCGAGGGCUUCACCGCCUAUCAAGUCCAGACAAACUCCGAAUGCACACAGGCUAAGCCCGGGAGUGAGGGCGUGGGUGCUAAGGUCCACGCCCGAGAGGAGAAGAAUCCUGAUCACCGGCUAAGGCCCCGAAAUCCGGGCUAAGUUAAACUAACGAAGUGUGGUCCCCGUGACAGCUAGGAUGUUGGCUUGGAAGCAGCCAUUCAUUCAAAGAGUGCGUAACAGCUCACUAGUCGAGGGACUGUGCAUGGAUAAUAAUCGGGUAUGAAGCCCGGUGCCGAAGCCGUGGGAUGUCUUAUGACAUCGGUAGGGGAGCAUUCAUGCGGCCUUGAAGCCCAAGGGACGACCUUGGGUGGAGCUUCAUGAAAAGCAAAUGUAGGUAUAAGUAACGAUAAAGAGUGUGAGAUGCACUCUCGCCGAAAGACUAAGGUUUCCGGGGCAACGUUAAUCGUCCCCGGGUCAGUCGGGACCUAAGGCUCAUCCUAAUGGAGAGGCCGAUGGCAGAAACGGUUAAUAUUCCGUUACUAUCCUUUGGGGCGAUGUGGAGACGGAGAAGUGACACUUCCGCGGGCUGACGGAAUAGCCCGUUAAAGAUCGUAGGCGUUGACGAGGGCAGGCAAAUCCACCCUCAGAGCUGAAAGUCGAUAGUAUGCAGCGUCUUCGGACAAUGCAAUAGCGAAGGUAAGCAUACUCCCGAGAAAAUCCGCUAAGCUUAACCCAUUGGAUACCCGUACCGCAAACGGACACACGUAGUCGGGUAGAAUAUACUAAGGCGCUUGGAAGAUUCAUGGUUAAGGAACUAGGCAAAUUGACCCCGUACGUUCGCAAUAAGGGGUCCUCGUCGCAAGGCGAGGCGCAGAGAAUAGGUCCAGGCAACUGUUUAACAAAAACACAGGGCUGUGCAAAAUCGAAAGAUGAAGUAUACAGUCUGACACCUGCCCGGUGCCGGAAGGUUAAGAGGAGAGCUCAGAUGCAAGUCGAAGGUUUGAAUUGAAGCCCCGGUAAACGGCGGCCGUAACUAUAACGGUCCUAAGGUAGCGAAAUUCCUUGUCGGGUAAGUUCCGACCUGCACGAAUGGUGUAAUGAUCCGGACACUGUCUCAACCAUGAUUCCAGUGAAAUUGUAGUAUCGGUGAAGAUGCCGAUUACCCGCGA